AAUGAAGCCGCCCAGCUGUGGACCUUACUUCAGUUUUGAAAAGCCACUAGUUUUCUAACAUGAUGACACCAGUUGAUAUCCAUACCAGCAUCAGCUCCACAUCUGGGAACGGGCUUGACACAAGUUAACUUCUGGCAUGAGCUAUCAAGUUGUACCUGACAGGAGGAAAAGUGGGACUCACCCCCUGACCGAAUCUCUCUUCCUCACACUACUCACACCUCUCCUCGUCUUCUCUUAGCAGGGCUGGUCUUUGUAAUACAGUCAAAAAAGGGCCAACUCGAGUGGCUCCAUUGGAGCUGGUGACCAUGGAGUGUGAGACAUUGGAGACAAGUGCCGUCUGCACACUCAUCCAACUCCCCUGAGAGUUAUUCAUUGUUUAUCCACCCAGGAAGACCUACUGAAAUGGACCCUGACUGGAUCCUGAUCUUCGACCCAACCCUAAGGUGGUGUUGACGGCCAGUGGCUCAAGGGCUCUGCCAGUGACUCCUUUCACAGCAAGGUCAUGGUGGCUCUCAUUAAUUAUUUAGUGAUGACACUUCAGGCAUCUGACCCCCACAAGUGCACCCCAACUUUCCUGAUCUCAAAUGGAACACCUACCCUGGAUAUGAAAAGAUGCAGGGGAAAUGCAGCAGGUAACAAGAAUGGCGGUGGGGCCCAUCUUUGGUAGAGAGAGACACGCCUGCUCCUGAGGAAAAUGAAUCAGAGAAACCAUUUUACCUAAGUACUGUGCCAACACUGAGGAUGUAGCCCAAAGACAGAGGGUAUGCCUACCAUGCACAAGGCCCUGGCUUGGAUGGAAGAGAAAAAAAAGACACUAUCCCAGGACUUCAUCUUCUGCUCCUUUGGUGUCUUCACAUUCUCACUGUCCAUGGGAUUUAAAAGCCACUUGACCACUUGUGCUUGCUAGUCCUGAGGCCCAUGUUAUAUGCACCUCAGUCCAGGAGAGACCCCAAGGCAGGGACUUUCCC
rnacentral:lncRNA from 1 species